UAAUGUAUGGGGAUCUGCCCGAUAGAGGGGGGUAACUACUGGAAACGGUGGCUAAUACCGCAUAAUGUCUACGGACCAAAGCAGGGGCUCUUCGGACCUUGCACUAUCGGAUGAACCCAUAUGGGAUUAGCUAGUAGGUGGGGUAAAGGCUCACCUAGGCGACGAUCUCUAGCUGGUCUGAGAGGAUGAUCAGCCACACUGGGACUGAGACACGGCCCAG
rnacentral:rRNA from 1 species